rnacentral:rRNA from 1 species
AAGACCUUGUGCUUUUGGAGCGGCCGAUGCCUGAUUAGCUAGUUGGUAGGGUAAAGGCCUACCAAGGCUUCGAUCAGUAGUUGGUCUGAGAGGACGACCAGCCACACUGGGACUGAGACACGGCCCAGACUCCUACGGGAGGCAGCAGUGGGGAAUUUUGGACAAUGGGGGCAACCCUGAUCCAGCCAUGCCGCGUGAGUGAAGAAGGCCUUCGGGUUGUAAAGCUCUUUCAGCCGGAACGAAACGGUUACGGUUAAUACCCGUGACUACUGACGGUACCGGAAGAAGAAGCACCGGCUAACUACGUGCCAGCAGCCGCGGUAAUACGUAGGGUGCAAGCGUUAAUCGGAAUUACUGGGCGUAAAGCGUGCGCAGGUGGUUUUGUAAGUCAGAUGUGAAAUCCCCGGGCUUAACCUGGGAACU